rnacentral:lncRNA from 1 species
GGGCUGAGCUCGAGAUGGCACCAGCCCUGACUGUGAGGAGGUGCUAGGCGGAUAAAGGAUCUGAGGCUGGAUGGAGUUCAUGGUGGAAGCGUGUGGCAAGAACGAGGGAGGGGGGAAGGUCAAGAGAGGGGCAGGUGGUCGAGUCCUGUGACAGAGGGCAGUUAUUCCUCCUAGGUGGUUGAUCUAUGCCCCGCAUUCCAGCAAAGGGUGUAGAUCUUGUGCUGGGCGGUACCCAUGUCCACAGGACUCCAAGGUGAACAAUCACAUUUGGGGGGCAGGGGUCUGUCUCCAUCCUCCUGGGAACCUAUCACCCCAGCCUUCGGUCACAUGGGACAGGGCGACAGUGCUCUCUUCUGUAGCUACUUCCUGCUGGCUGGGGCGACGAGUACGGGGUGGCUGGACAUGGUAGGUUCCUCCUAUAGAGACUGGGAAGAAAAGAAAAAUAAGAUUCAACAGAGGUUUGGAGUUUAGGUUGAUACCGGUACUGUUGAAGGAGGAGUGCGGUUUUAUCUAAGUAGGUCUUAAUGUUUGAUGCGGUAUUAGUACCUAAAUAACAGGAGCUCUCGGUCCUUAUCAUGUUGUCUCCUGUCUGUUGUUUUAAGAGGAGGCCUUGAAGAUGUGAGGUUGAGCUGCCAGCUGAUGCUGCUGUGAGAACAACUGGUGGCAUCAAGUCUGAUAGGGCACAUAAACCUUAAGUUUUCAGCAACAGAAAGACUAGUCUAAAAUCACUCCCGUCAUAUUUCCUAGCAUCACCUUGGCUGCCUGACCCACAGCUACUCUAUUCUGCCUUUUCUCUCUAAUGCCCGAUGCAGAUGCCACUGUAAAUGAUUUCCGUUUUUCUAGAAAGGAGAAGAAGAUGCGGGAAUUUGGACUCAUAAAAAUCCUCACCUGAAAUCUAACUAACUGAAGGCCGGUUCUGUCCGUUUUCCCUGAGCACAGAGUGCCCCACUCCUGGUCUCCAUGCUGAGCUCUGCUCAGGGGGUGCUGCGGGUCGGCAGCUACAGGGGCUCAUGCUCUACUCUAUGUAGAGGCUGAUGGCAAGUGCCAAACUUCAGUUCACAGUGCUCCCCCAUGGUCAUAAUUCAACCAUAGUUUUUUUUGGAAGGCAUUUCAUGACCAUUUCAUCCAGAGUGCUAGGAAUGAACAUUCCAAGUCCUGGCAAGAUUUCAGGCGACUCAAUGUGCUAUUACUGGACUAGGCCUUAUUCACCAGAGCCAAAAGACUCUGGACCACCUAUCUUCCUAGUCUGUUAUGGGCCAGGAAAACAUUCCCUCUUGUUGCACUUUCCCAUAUCUAGAGAUCACUGAUCUCAUAUGGAACUGUUUAUCAUUUUAUCAGAGACUCAGUUACAAAGCAAAUAACACUCUUCUUAAAGAUAUACUCUUGGUCAUUGUAGCACUAUAUACAAUAACCAAGACAUGGAAACAACCUAAAUGCCCAUCGACAGAGGAGUGGAUCAAGAAGAUGUGGUACAUAAACACAAUGGAAUAUGACUCAGCCAUUAAGAGGAAAGAAAUAAUGGCAUUUGUAGCAACAUGGAUGGACCUAGAAAUUAUCAUGCUAAGUGAAGCCAGUCAGACAGUGAGACGCCAACAUCAAAUGCUACCACUUACAAGCAGAAUCUAAAAAAAGGACACAAUGAACUUCUUUGCAGAACAGAUACCGACUCAUGGACUGUGAAAAACUUAUAGUUUCCAAAUGAGACAGGUUCGGGGGGUGGGGGAGGCACUGAGGGUUUGGGAUGGAAAUGUAAGAUUUGGUUGUGACGACCACUGUACAACUAUAAAUGUUAACAAAAUUCAUUGAAUAAUAAUAACAACAACAACAAAGAUAUACUCUUGACCGUGGCAUGUUUUUGUACUGAUAACAUGGGAAUGUCUAAAUUUCUGGAAACUUAGAGAAAAAAGAUAUUAAAAAGUUGCUUAACUUGCUCAUUCUGUAUCCUUCUACAGAACUCUUUGGCCUUCACACUUCUAACGUUAUGUACGGAAAAUCUCUUGUUCAACAGCAAAUAACAGAAAAAGUGAAAAUAAGCCAAAGUGAAGAAAAACCAAAAGUGAAGAAAGCACAAAUGAUUAUCAUACCUACACCUAUACUAAAUAUGCUAGCUAAUGGGAACCUGCUGUAUAGCAUAGGGAAUUCUAUCCAAUAUUCUGUGAUAAUCUACAUGGGGAAAAGAAUAUGAAAAAGAAGGAACGUGUGUAUAACUGAAUCACUUUGUUGUACAGCAGAAAUGAUCACAACAGGGGAGUUCCCAUCAUGGCUCAGCAGUUAACAACCCUAACUAGUAUCCAUGAGGACGUGGGUUUGAUCCCUGGCCUCGCUCAGUGGGUUAAGGAUCCAGCAUUGCCAUGAGCUGUGGUGUAGGUCACAGAUGCAGCUUGGAUCUGAUGUUGCUAUGGCUGUGGUUUAGGCCGGCAGCUGCAGCUCCUAUUCGACCCCUAGCCUGGGAACCUCCAUAUGCUGUGGGUGAGGUCCUAAAAAAACAGAAGAAAGAAGGAAGGAAGGAAGGAAGGAAGGAAGGAAAGAAAGAAAGAAAGAAAGAGAGAGAGAGAGAGAGAGAGAAAGAAAGAAAGAAAGGAAGAAAGGAAGAAAUUAUCACUGCAUUGUACAUCAACUAUAUUUCAGCAUUUCCUGGUGGCCUAGCAGUUAAGUAUUUGGCAUUGUCACUGCUGUGGCUUGGGUCUGAUCCCAGGCCCAGGAACUCCCAAAUGCCGCAGAUGUUUCCUCCACCCAGAUGUCUCCAAUAGCAGCAAGUGUGCUGAUGCACUUUUCAUUUUGAAAUUGGAAUCUUAAUAGACUCCAACAGAUACAAUUUUUCAAGCAUAUCAUUUAUUGAAGAACUGAUUUUCUGCACGUGCCAAUUUUGCAUAUUAAAUUGAAGAAUGUCCAUUUCAAUUUUGUGCUUUAAAUUUCAAUUCAUGUGAUACACUAAGUGAAUUCCUUGUCGCAGGUUUCUCUCAAGUGCUUAAUUAUUAGAAUUUUGUUCAACAUCAUCAGCUUACACUGGAUUUGUUCACUACAGUUAUUUUUAAAAGACCCUGCACUUAUUAUAUUGUAUACCUAUUUUAAUUAGAGUGACUUUAAAUAUUGAGUGACUUUGAUAAUACCCUUAAUAAAUUCAUUUCACUCAUAUCUUUCAAGGGUAAUCCUGAUCUCUACCUUUUAAAAUCUUCAUUUGUGUGCCUUUUUUUAAAAAAAUUCUCACUUAUUCAUGACAGUUUUGAUUCAGUAUUUGAGUUUUUUGUUAUAUCAAUAAAGCAAUUCUCCUACAUAACUGCGAUACAGUUAAUCACCUCACUGUACUCUCUUAACCUCCAAAAUGUACCAGUUUUUUAUCUAAACAACCAAAUAUAUCUCCACAUGAACAGUGAAGAAUUAAAGUCAAGAAUGAUAAAUUUUAUUUACCAUUCAAUCAGUUUAGUAUAACUUACUCGAAAGAAUGCCUUGACUUCUGCUUUUUCACAAGCAAAGUGAAAAUAAAAUCUGAUGUAUAAGUUAUUUAGUACUGCCUUUUCAUCUAAAUGGUUUCUAAAUCUUUUAAAACUCAGAUUACGCCUUUUGGUGAUUUAGUUUUUUUUCCCCUAAGACCAAAAAAAAAAAAAUUAUCAUAUUACACAAAUAGAAAAAAAAAUGCAUUUAGUUGAUUUCAUAUUUUUAAAAUUUUUUCUCAGGAGUUCCUGUUGUGGCUCAGCAGUAACGACCUGACUAUCAUCCACAAGGAUGCGGGUUCCAUUCCUGGCCCCAUUCAGUGGAUUAAGGAUCCGGUGUUGCUGCAAGCGUUGGUGUAGGUCACAGAUGUGGCUCAGAUCACUUGUUGCUGUGCGUGGGCCAGCAGCCGAGGCUCCAAUUUGACCCCUAGCCUGAGAACAUCCAUAUGCCGCAAAUGCAGCCCUAAAAAACAAACAAACAAAAAAAAA